UAUUUGGUUUUCUUUCUUCUAAAAACUCUUUUAUUUUGCUUCGGUUUUAGUAACAAGAAACCUUGCUUUUGGUUCUCCGAUUUUUUAAUACUAGGAAUUGAUAAUUCUGAGGAUGAUGUUUGCAAAUUUGGGGCAAAAGAUGAAUAUAUAGGCACAGAAAAGAAGUUGAAUGAAUAGGAGAAAGAGACAGUAGUUAAGAGUGCUGAAGAUCGUGAUAAACCACUGGCUCUUUAGCUAAUUGUGUGCUCUCUGUAUUGCAG
rnacentral:lncRNA from 1 species